UGGGUUGUAGCUCAGCGGCAGAGCAUCUGCUAUGCAAGCAGAAGGUCCCAGGUUCAGUUUCUGGCAUCGUUCAG